rnacentral:misc_RNA from 1 species
AUCAAUUUUUGUUUUAAGACAAUUGUGACUGAGGUGAAUGAAUUGAAAAGCGUUCAUUCCGAUAGAAAUCGCCAGGUUUAUAUCUAUGUUUGUAUGGAUGUAAUUGGUUUUUGUCAAAUUUAGUUUUUGAAGCUGAGCAUUUGUUAUUGUGGGUUUGGCGUAUUCCCUUGUUGCACACGGAGAACAACACACACAUUCAACACCCACACAGACUCAGCACACAAAAUGGAUCUGUUUGAUAUGGUACGAAAUGCACCGCCACCGAAAGCUGUACGGGAAUAUACAGGCAGCAGUCAGAGGAAAACACCCAUAAAGCAGAUCGCUGAUAGCGCUAAAACAGAUCCGACGACGAAAUGCUUAUUGCUGGCCUCAUCUGAGGGAACAGAAGUGUCGGACGAUGAUAUUGAGAUUGGAAGUACACAACCGUCGGUGCGCCAGGCAGUCGGAAAGAUGACAUCGAGCCUGGGUAAAAAGUCCAAUUCCAAGACAAUUGAGACUAAUUUGAUUGAUGGCAAUGAUGAUGAUGAUGGUGACGACGCCGACGACGAUGUCAAUGAUGGGAAUGGUACCGUUAAUGCCGAUAAAGCGGGUGAGGAUGAGCAGCCACAGCCAAUGCCUUUCAAGACGAAGGCUCAACAAAAAAUGUUUGCAGAAUUGCCGUUGCCUUCAAAGCAUCAACAACAGAUCGGUCCUUUUCACAUUAAACCGUGCAUUGUGCGCAUCAAUCGCCUGACCCAAUCAAAGAUUGACCAUCUAACAGCAACCAUAUCAAAAAAAAAAUCAAAUAAACGUGGCCGGCCCCGCAAGUCUGCAGAAGCUUCAACGGCGAUUAAUUCACCGAAACCGAACAGCAGGAAUAGGAACAGGAGCAACAAGGUGCACAUUGCUUUUAACAUUGAGAUACCCAGGCUGUCCAUCAGUUCCAAGCAAUCGGACCGAGUCCACACACCACCGCCAAAUCUAAUUCGCAGCCCAAACAACAUCCGGCCUCCAUUUGUCCGCAGAGAAAUGGUGCGUCGCUACGGUGCCCGCUUCUUCAAUUGUGUGGUGAAGGUGAAGCGUAUAAGGGACUUCAACAGCUCGUUGCCGAAGCGAAUAAACAACAAGUCUGUUUCGUUCAGCGAAGCUGUCGAGAUAUUAGGCAGCAAGCCGCGUAAAUCAUCAUCCACUUCUGGUGGCGACAAGUGCCAUUCAGUGCCGACGCGUCUGCAACGAGUCGAUGCCACUGGUAAUGUUCUUGAAGACAUUAACCUUGGGCACAAUAUGUCACUAAAGUUCAGUCGUACUAAAUUAUCGCAUAACAAGCGGAGUGCUCCAUCCUCCUGCAACGGCGGCAGGUCAGCCAAAUUGCAAAGACGUCAGUCCACAUGCGUUCCAGUUACAGGCUUAGCCAGUCUGUGCAUCGAGGACAGUCAGGAUGAGCCUGCUAGCAAUGAACCUGGUGUCGAGUAUAUCGUGCCGAAUGAUGUGUCCGAUAACAAAUCGGAAGGUGUGCGUUGCGCUCGCACUUCAAGUCCCGUGAAACGGUUCUCGUCGACCACCACAGUGAGCGAUGAGGAGGACACUGAAGAAUCUACAAAAGCUAAUACAAUGAAAGAGGAGCCAACCACUAAGAAGCCGAAAUCUUCAUCUACGAUGCGAAAUGCUUCUAAUAAAGAGCCAAAAUCGCCAAUUAAGAAUCAAAAAUCGCCAGCUAAGGAGAAAAAGUCGUCAACCAUGGAGAAACAAUCUUCACCUAAGGAGAAUCAGGAGCAAGCAGAACACAUGGGUAAGCAGCUGCAGUCCGAACUAAAACCGCAGCCUGUUGAACCUGUACUAAAUGCUGCGGAUCCAGAGCCGACGCCGGAGCUGGAAAAGCCGGCAACUGUGCCUGGACAUAUUGAGUUAAGAGAAGUAUCUCCAUUUGCGCUGGCCAUCAUAGAAGAUGUGACAUCAACUGAUGACAUAUUGGAGAUACAAAAAUCUGACCAAGAUGUCCGUGAUCUGUACACUCCCACAUCGCGCCAAACGACACCGGAGCUGCUGCGCCGCUUAGAAUCGCCCGUUUCGGAUUGCAGUUUCAAGUCGGCCAUCGAAACGGUUGGCAACCGCAGAGCAUUGCAUAUUGUAGACCGCAUACCGUCGCCAGCCUCACCAUUACGACAAAUCAGUACGCCAUCCACACUCCGCAACGGUUCGACACCGCCCGCUGCACCCAACACACUUAACAGUUCAGCUAGCAGCUGCCCAGCUAGUAGCAAACAAGCCAGCACCACCACCGCAACAACAACAAAAACCAUCAUCACCACCGACACCAACACCACCACGACCAACAGCAACAUAUCAAUAGGCUCGCCGAUUGGUGAAAUACCCAAUUUAGGUGAUGAACUUUGCUUGUGGAGUUCGUCUCCUAACUAAGCAUCGGCCGUCAUACGAUCUCGGUGGUACCUUGGACGGUAUAAUUACAGUGUUGAAAUCUGAAGCAGUCUACGAUAAAGAAAAAUAUGGACGCGUCUCACAAAAAGCUCACAUCUGAUGGAUUCCAUCAACAACUCUAAACCCCGUUAAAAUGACAAGCUCUCUAAAUUGAGCUAGCAUAAUCACACACCUAACAUAAACGAACACAAAAUGAACAUUAACUGAAUUUUUUUUUGAACUUAGCUGUAAAUAUAACUGAUGUAUUUUAGAAAUAAAUAUACUGCCUGAAUGGAAUUUGGAUGAUUGUGAAAAAACUUGCGAGAGAGAAAACAAAAACAUAAAUUAAAUUGUAAACAAUUCAUAACAUAAAUAUGACUUGAAUGAAUACCUCCAUCGACAACUCCUCUAGGUAAGCGAGUUCUUACAUAACAUGUUCUCAAUGUAAUAAUAUGCGGAUCAGAUGUACAAAUGAGUAUCAUCAGGCACACAUACAACCAAUUGCAGACCAACAUAAAUAACAAAUCAAUAACAGAAAUAUGUAAAAAUGGUAGAAAUAAUAAAAAUAUGUAUGUAUGUAAUAUAUGUAAAAGGGUUUCAGAAGUGGGAAAUCUAAAAAUAACAUUUUAAAUGUCUAACUACCAUUACGCACUUCAAUUGAAGAAAUAUAAAUAAUCCAAAACUUUAUUAUUGAUGAUGGUGGAAUUGGUUGAGGUGUGAUAAAGGUAUGGUCAUUUGAAGUGUCGAGGGAAAUUUCUCAAAUAAAAAUGUUCGAAUGAUUUUCGAAAAAUGAAUAAUUUACUUCCCUAAAAUUAAAUGGUUAGCAAUUUUAAGUUAUUCUCAAUUGGUAUUUUAAAUACCACUUUAAUUAUAAUUUAAAAAUCAGUAAGAUUAAAUAAGUGUCUAAAUAACUUGUAGAAUAUCCAUGAUGCGCAUGUGAAAUUUCAGAAGAACAUAAUUAAAGUACCCAAAAUAGAUGGGAGUAAAAAACAUUGAAGGAAUAAAAAGAAA